CUCCCAAAGAGCAGAGCUCAAAUAUUACCUUACUUCAUUAUGAUGGUUCUGCUUUAAACUUAUCUUUUCGAAAGGAGCUGAUGCAUUUAUGGAAGGACUUGAAGUCUUUGUGUCUUGUAGUAUAAUUCGACCAUGUGAAAUUUCACCUGAGUAAGAUAAAACAAAGGAAUUGUCUCAUCUAUAAAUCAAACUCGAAAUGAUAUUCACAUCUACCAGUAGAUAACAUAAUUUCUUUCCCCUUCUCGAGACCACAUGCAUAAGUCAGAAACAUAACCAUCGUAGUUACCUUUGGUAACAGGUUCCUCUGUCAAUCAAGUAGACUGCAUUUCUAAUAUAAAGACUUCAGGCUUCAUUUAUCAAUAAGUUAGAAGGAUUAUCAAAGAAAGGCUAAAAGACAAAGAACGCAUACAAAGAUUUAAUCACUUACAGCAAACUGAUUAGUUAAAUCCUGAUUCUUAUAUUUAUUGGACAUCUCUUCAAUUGGUUCUUUGCCUUUGGACUGCUGUUGUUGUUUCCUUCACUCAGACUCAUACACCUAUUUCAUAAGUGACACAUUCAACAUACAUUUGUAUUAACAGAUGAAAAGCACCAAGUCCCAGCAUUACCUCUCAAUAUCUUCGACCAUGAUCAAGAUAACUGUAACCACCAUAUUUUUUUCUAUGAAAACCAGCUUUAGUCCGUCCAUCUUCAUCACCAACACUUUCAGCAGCUUUACUCAACUCAUCUUCAGCUGAAGUUCUUCUUUCUCAAGUUCUUCCAACCUUGACAUUAUACUGCCAUGCUCUGCCUUUUCCACAGCCGAAGGAAAUAUCAAUUGUAGAAUGCCCAAUGCUGAAGAGGCUCCCACUAAACUCCGAUACUGCAAAAGGACAAACGCUCAUUUUUUUAGAAGAUGAGUAGUAGUGGAAAAAUGUAGAAUGAGAAGAUGAAUCCACUCAAAUUGCUUUUCUCCUUUUUUUCAUACCUCUGUAAACUACAAAUGCUGUCUAUUUUGUUGUCAAAUAACGAUAGUUAUUCAAAUAACAAGUAGGAUUUUAUUGUCAUAUAUGUAUCAUUAAACAUAUGGUCUUAGAUUUUGUGGCCUUCGUCUUCCAAUGCUGUCUCUUGUGUUUCCUUUUCUGAUCAUUGUUUAAGUGGCAAUAAUGGCGCUUGUAUGAAUGCUACUGAUUCAGUCCUAUCAGUAAGUGAGAAAAGCUUUUUUUGGAACUCUAGCUCCCAUUUGGAUAACAAAAAUGUCCAAGGCUGUAGGUGCUUUAGUUCUUUACUUCUCUUUACAUUCCUAGAACAGGGAUUUCAUUUGCUGAUGAAUUGCUAGGAAGGUGGCAGAGUAAUGUUAGAUGUUACUACCUAACAUCUUACACAUGCUGCUCUUAGUAUUCCUUUUUCUUUUUU
rnacentral:lncRNA from 1 species